rnacentral:rRNA from 1 species
GACGAACGCUGGCGGCGUGCUUAACACAUGCAAGUCGAGCGAUGAAGCUCCUUCGGGAGUGGAUUAGCGGCGGACGGGUGAGUAACACGUGGGUAACCUGCCUCAUAGAGGGGAAUAGCCUUCCGAAAGGAAGAUUAAUACCGCAUAAGAUUGUAGUACCGCAUGGUAUAGCAAAUAAAGGAGCAAUCCGCUAUGAGAUGGACCCGCGUCGCAUUAGCUAGUUGGUGAGGUAACGGCUCACCAAGGCGACGAUGCGUAGCCGACCUGAGAGGGUGAUCGGCCACAUUGGGACUGCAACACGGCCCAGACUCCUACGGGAGGCAGCAGUGGGGAAUAUUGCACAAUGGGGGAAACCCUGAUGCAGCAACGCCGCGUGAGUGAUGACGGUCUUCGGAUUGUAAAGCUCUGUCUUCAGGGACGAUAAUGACGGUACCUGAGGAGGAAGCCACGGCUAACUACGUGCCAGCCGCCGCCGUAAGAC